rnacentral:rRNA from 1 species
GACGAACGCUGGCGGCGUGCUUAACACAUGCAAGUCGAACGGAAAGGCCCUGCUUUUGUGGGGUGCUCGAGUGGCGAACGGGUGAGUAACACGUGAGUAACCUGCCCUUGACUUUGGGAUAACUUCAGGAAACUGGGGCUAAUACCGGAUAGGAGCUCCUGCUGCAUGGUGGGGGUUGGAAAGUUUCGGCGGUUGGGGAUGGACUCGCGGCUUAUCAGCUUGUUGGUGGGGUAGUGGCUUACCAAGGCUUUGACGGGUAGCCGGCCUGAGAGGGUGACCGGCCACAUUGGGACUGGGAUACGGCCCAGACUCCUACGGGAGGAAGCAGUGGGGAAUAUUGCACAAUGGGCGGAAGCCUGAUGCAGCAACGCCGCGUGCGGGAUGACGGCCUUCGGGUUGUAAACCGCUUUCGCCUGUGACGAAGCGUGAGUGACGGUAAUGGGUAAAGAAGCACCGGCUAACUACGUG